GGUUCUAUAGUGUAGCGGUCAUCACGUCUGCUUUACACGCAGAAGGUCCUGGGUUCAAUCCCCAGUGGAAACA
rnacentral:tRNA from 1 species